CCCGUUUUACACACCCCGGCAGAGAAACGACCGCCAGAGACUUAGAGGAGUUAGGCAGUAGUAAGGAGGGAGAGAGCUCCGGUUCUACUCGGGGUUGAGUUAGGCAGGAGUGAGCCCCGUCUGCCUGCUGGGGUGAGCUUGCACUAGGGUAGUGCUGGAUAAAGACACGGGGCAAGGGAAGAGGCAGAGAGUAACACCAGGAGAUGGAAGAGAGACUGCAUUAAUCGUCGAAGUAGCCACGAACCAGUAGGUGGGGUCAAUGGAUGCAUUUCUUCAAAAAUUCAUCCAUGCAACAUUGGCAUUGUUGACAAGUUUCGCAUUGAUUGUACCUCCCUAGUUGCUCCCAAGAAGCUCAUGGUCGGCCUUCUUCUAGAACUACUUCAGUCUGUGUGGAGAAGGAUGUGGGCGUGACUAGUUAGGCCAAUAUUUAUUGCCCAUUCCUAAUUACCCAGAUGGUAGUUAACCAUGAUGCUGAGAUGAUGGCCAGACCAGGUAAGAACAGCAGUUUCCUUCUCUACAAGAUACAAGCGAACCCAAUGGGUUUCUCCAACAAUCAACAACAGGUCAUGGUCAUCAUUACACUUACAAUUCCAGAUAUGCAGUCAAGUGGGACUACCCGAGGUCAUGAAUACUGCCUUCUUUCAUCUUACUU